rnacentral:lncRNA from 1 species
AUUUUGAUCCAAUUAGGUAGCUUGAUCCAGCUCUAUGCUGUCCAGUCUGAGACAUUCUUUGUAUCAGAGUUUGCCACCUAGUAUAAAGUCAUCUUUGCGCUCUAGAAUUCAUUCUUUUCAUGUCAAAGAAUAGGUAUUAUCUCAUAAUCAUUCUUUUCUUGUUCAAGAAACUGAAUGCAUUCUAUCCAAAAUACUAAAUUCGAAGUCUAUUUCUCAAGCUUCUUCCGUUGAGCAGGUAAUGCUUUGAGAAGGGUCCAUAUAGCUUGUCUCUGUGCAGCUCUCUGUUGCAGACAUCAAAGUUGAGAUGGAGCAGACUCUACAGAGGCUAUCGCUUGAAAAAUUGAAAAGACGAGAGAGAAAGAAAAUAGGGGAGAGAGAGCGCGCGGGUAAUCGAAAAAUUGAAAAGAUGAGAGAGAGGGCUUGAGCGGAGACUGGCAUUUAUUAUUCAUUGUGUCAGUGGUUUGCCUUCCGAUUUUUAUUUUUCUAUUUCUACAUAUUCCAGCUCAC